rnacentral:rRNA from 1 species
GAGUUUGAUCUUGGCUCAGAUUGAACGCUGGCGGCAUGCCUUACACAUGCAAGUCGAACGGUAACAGGUCUUCGGACGCUGACGAGUGGCGAACGGGUGAGUAAUACAUCGGAACGUGCCCAGUCGUGGGGGAUAACUACUCGAAAGAGUAGCUAAUACCGCAUACGAUCUGAGGAUGAAAGCGGGGGACCUUCGGGCCUCGCGCGAUUGGAGCGGCCGAUGGCAGAUUAGGUAGUUGGUGGGAUAAAAGCU